UACGAAGGGGGCUAGCGUUGCUCGGAAUGACUGGGCGUAAAGGGCGCGUAGGCGGAUGGCACAGUCAGAUGUGAAAUUCCCGGGCUUAACCUGGGGGCUGCAUUUGAUACGUGUUGUCUUGAGUUCGGAAGAGGGUCGUGGAAUUCCCAGUGUAGAGGUGGAAAUUCGUAGAUAUUGGGAAGAACACCGGUGGCGAAGGCGGCGACCUGGUCCGACACUGACGCUGAGGCGCGAAAGCGUGGGGAGCAAACAGGAUUGAGAAACCCCAGU
rnacentral:rRNA from 1 species